UGAACGCUGGCGGUAUGCCUAACACAUGCAAGUCGUACGAGAGUAUUUUUACUCAAGUGGCGGACGGGUGAGUAACACGUGAGAAUUUGCCUUUAGGAGGGGGAUAACAAUUAGAAAUGAUUGCUAAUACCCCAUAUGCUUGAGAGUGAAAUAGAUUUAUCUGCCUAAAGAAAAGCUCGCGGCUGAUUAGCUAGUUGGUAAGGUAAUAGCUUACCAAGGCGACGAUCAGUAUCUGGUUUGAGAGGACGAUCAGACACACUGGAACUGAGACACGGUCCAGACUCCUACGGGAGGCAGCAGUGGGGAAUUUUCCGCAAUGGGCGAAAGCCUGACGGAGCAAUACCGCGUGAGGGAAGAAGGCCUAUGGGUUGUAAACCUCUUUUUUCAGGGAGGAAUUCAUGACGUGUACCUGAAGAAUAAGCAUCGGCUAACUCC
rnacentral:rRNA from 1 species